AUUGAACGCUGGCGGCAUGCCUUACACAUGCAAGUCGAACGGCAGCAUGGAGAGCUUGCUCUCUGAUGGCGAGUGGCGAACGGGUGAGUAAUGCAUCGGAACGUACCGUGUAAUGGGGGAUAACGUAGCGAAAGUUACGCUAAUACCGCAUACGACCUGAGGGUGAAAGCAGGGGAUCGCAAGACCUUGCGUUAUACGAGCGGCCGAUGUCAUAUUAGCUAGUUGGUGAGGUAAGGGCUCACCAAGGCGACGAUCUGUAGCGGGUCUGAGAGGAUGAUCCCCCACAAUGGGACUGAGACACGGCCCAGACUCCGACGGGAGGCAGCAGUGGGGAAUUUUGGACAAUGGGGGCAACCCUGAUCCAGCCAUGCCGCGCGAGUGAAGAAGGCCUUCGGGUUGUAAAGCUCUUUCGGCCGGGAAGAAAUCGCACAGGCUAAUACUCUGUGUGGAUGACGGUACCGGCAUAAGAAGCACCGGCUAACUACGUGCCAGCCGCCGCGGUAA
rnacentral:rRNA from 1 species